UAACAUCCUGUUCUCACACUUUCACAGAAAGUUGCCACCCCAAAAUGUAGCCAGGAUGAAACAUGGUUGUGACUGAAGCCUGUUGGGAGUUGAGUGUUUUUCUAUUACUGUGUCAAUUUAAAGAAUUUUUCCCAUUAUCAUGCCAAUGGAGCUGGCCGGUUACACCCUGAAUAUUUGACGACUUUAAACAAAAGAGGUAGGUGGGAUCGGCUUGGAGAGUGGCACUCGUGCUUCCAAAGGGGACUCGUGUUCCCGGCGAGCUCGGAGAAGGAUCCCCCUGGUCUUGGAGCCACGCGGCCGAAGGCAGGAGAGCCAGACCCUCUGCGAUCACCUGCCCUGCAUCUGCCCCGCUGCAGCCUCCUGCCUCUGCAGACACAGCGAAUCACCCGGACACCAACAGUGAGCGAGGAGCUGCUCGCUCCAGCCCGUUCCCACCCAAGAUCGGCGCGGCCGCUGCCGCCCCCUCCCACCUCCGCUCCUGCUGAGAGAAAUAGUGUGCCCACAGCUAAAGAAAGGACUGGAACCGAG